ensembl:lncRNA
GGGCUGUCUUGGGUAGUGUCACUACUAUCCUAUGGAAGUAGAAACCAAGCCAGUCUCUCGGUUCCUAACCAGAAAUUAGACUCGUAGAAACCACUGAAAAAGCAGAACUGGAUAUGAAAGGCUGUGGGCUGCUUAGUUGGAAGCAUGAGCUCUUUUCUGGGGUUGGCUCCUGACUCAUGGGGAAGUUUUUGGUCUCAGUGGCCCACAUUUUCAGAUGUCUUUGUCUAGAAAAGCUUAACAGCAAAGCGUGCUGGGUUCUUGUGUUCGUGUGGAGCUUGCUCAACAAAUGAAAAAGAAUGGGACCUCCAUCAUGUUUUGAAAUUAAUUCACGAAAACCUGCAAUUAGAACACAUGCAGUAGGGAAUGAUGUUGUUUUUUUCAAAAGAGCUUUUGCUUUAUCAGAAGAUCCACAGAAAAUACCCUUCAGAUAGUUUUAAGUGGUGCUUACAAAAUCCUCAUUUAUGUACAUGUUUGUAGAAAUACACCUGUCGCAUUAAACAUACUGAACCUGCGUUCGUCAUGCAGUAUCCAGCCCUGUCUCCUUAUGGCUGUAUUAGGAAAUGUGACCCAAUGGGAGGAACCGAGGGCGUUACAGACUAGCAUAGUGGUGUGUCUGGGGACAGCAGCGGCACACAAACCUUUUUAUUCUUUGCUAGGCUGAGACUCACUUGCAGGCAGCGUGACUGAGCCGGCAAUCUUGAAACUGCUUUUGUCCCUGCAAUGCAUCCUGGCCAGUGACAUUAAUGAAAACUGAGGAACCUCAGCUGGAGUGAAAGUUUAAACUUUUCUUUUAAAUUCUUGAAAAAUCCAUCAAGAACAUAUAUAUGAGGGAAAAAAUUAUGGGUUGUGGAGCAGGGAGGCCGGUGUGCAUGAAAUCAGAUAAACCUAAACUUCCAUACGCUCAUAAAAUUCUGUUAUUUAUUAAUUAGCUUUAUCCACAAUUCCUCCUGGAAAAUUUAAAAAGCCAGUGUCCAGAGAAGAAAGUGAAAAGAAUUGUUGAGGGACCAUCAGGAGUCAGGUUGUUUCCCUGAGCAGUUUCGGGUCCUCGGUGAGCCCUUCUCCAGCAUGGAGAUGUGUCAGUAUUCUGUGCAGCAACAUUCUCAUGGAACAGAGAGAGCCAACAGAUCUUCUGAUCUCUUUCACCACAUUUCCCACCGCUUCCCCACCCCUCUGUAUUUGACGUGUCACGCGUGGGGCUUGCUGACUUGUGUCUCUGUCUCUGCGCACACACUGUCUUCUCACUGACGCGUGCUGCCUGGAUCGCUCAUUUCAUGACCUUAUGCAGAGAGAUCCUGUUCCAGGAAGGCUUCCAGGACAAUCACUCUCCUGUACCCCUCGGCAGACUGUGGUACAGAACAGGCACAGCUCUGAGAGCUUGGAGAAGGUUAUUGCCGUGAGUCUGGAGAGAGACUGGCGCUGUGAAUUGGUGCGAAGCCCUCACUCGUCUCCCCACACUCUGUGUGCUGUCACUGGGGCCUAGGAGCAAUGUCAGAUGAAGCAAAUGGGGACACAGAAUCAUGCUCAUUUUAUGAACUUGGCAGAGAUUUUAUCCUUCAUUCGUGAUACCAUUCCACACUGCAAUUCUGCUGUCUUGGCAAUUUGGGGGCUCCUCUCUACUUUAAGAUAAAGUUCAGAUUCCUUAGCCCAAGGGACAGAGCCCUUCCUGAUCUGGCCAGGACUCCCUACCCUUUCCUUUAGUUAUGUCCCUCUGCUGCAUCCACAUCCAUCCGCCUGUUGUUUGGGCUCGCCCGAAAUGACUGCUACUUGUCCUUUAAAGUUAAGUUCAGAUGAAGCAUCACUUCUUCUUGGCUCUUGGAUGGGUUUUUCUGGGAUCUUCCAGGUUGGGUCAAGCAUUCCUCUGCACCCCUUUAAAUGCCUUGUGGCUCUUUCCUUAGAGCACUUCCUGCUUUGUCUGAUCCUGACCUUUCUUAUCUCAUUCACCAUAUUGUGAGCUUCCUAAGAGCAGACCCUUUCUUCAGCUAUCUCCAGCACCCAGCAAAGUGCCCGACACGUGGUAAUUCCUCAACUAGUGUUUGAGUGAAUAAAUGAUCUGUUGCAUUACCUGGGAAUUAAAACUAAUGAAUAUGAAGAGAGGCAAGAAAAGAUAAGAGGUUGUCUCUGAGCUCACCUCCGAAAGAAAUCCGAAUUUUAACACUAUUCAGUGACCCCUGGGAGAGAAAAGAGUCAGGAAAAUAUGCCACUUGCCUGUGAUUGAUGAAGGCUGGAAAUAUGUCAACAUGUGACUCAGGUAGUCCUGAGAAUAUAAAGCCUUGAGAAAGGUCAGGCGUACUUGUCAGGAAGAGCUUGAGUUAAAAAUUAUUAUUAAACAAACAUCGAGGGAGAACUGUCUUCAGUAAGAAAUAAUGCCCUAAGAAUGUUAAGGAUUCAGAACAAAUAAAUCUAGAUAAAGAAGAGAUUGUGUCAAAAGGAACGUGUUUUUGUUAGCUGAAAAGUUAAGGAUGAUUCAUAGCUCCCCUGGGUUAGAAAGUACAGUAGGUAAAUCAGCGACAUGGUAGCAAAGAAUCUACACCUGGCUUCCACGGUGUGCUUCUAGCUCAAGGGAAAGAAAAGUAUUUCAUGCUGUACGAUAGCAGGUGUGCCACAUGGCCAUUAGGUUGGUAAGGUCUCUGGGAGUAUCAGUGUAUAGAGCUCUUUCCAAGUUGGUGAUGGUGACCACUAGCAGCCUGAAGCUGUAUCACAGAGCACCCUUGUGUCUCCCCCGAAAUGCGGGGUUACCUUAUGGAUGUGCUGGGUUGAAUAAGGACACCUGCAACCAGUUAGAUUCUGGUGUUCUCAGUUUAGCCCCACCCUGCUCCGGGAGGAUUAAUGAUGGAAAAAACCCGAAGGGCACAGAACUGAACGCUCGAUAAUAUUUCAGUGAAACUUUUCUAUGGUAAAUAAGCAUUGGAAAGAGGCCCAAUUCAGGACCUUGGACCCUGGUGCAAUGAGCUUGGAAUCAAGGUGGCAUUAUAAAUUCUUGUCACUACCUCUCUGUAGUGAACUGGCAAGAACUUUCCUGAUAGAGAGUCGUUGGGUUUGGGGUUUCUCAACAGAACUAUUUUAUAAAUGAACAAACGUGUCUUUUCGUCUGCAAAGAUCUCACUGGGCCAGUCAGGCUCAGAUAGGCAUGUGCUUUCCAGGAGGCUAAGGCUGCUAGAUCAGAAUAGGGCCGUCCGGGCCUCCGAGCGGCUGUUUUGAGGACCCCUGGAGACCCAGCUUAUUCUCUGAACUAGUCUUGAGAGUGGCACUCUUUGCCUGGCCUCUUGGGUUCCCUCAUCUAGCAUAAUUCGAGUAUUUCCCACCCCAAACCACAUCACUACAGGGACAGGUCAGUAGGUGGCAAAGAGAUCCCAAGCUGACCAAAGUCAUUUUCUAGAUUGAUUAGUCUUGCUUGCUUAGGUUUUCUGAAUAAGCGUAAGUUUAUAGUCUAAGAAUAUAAUGCCACUUCUGAGUGUGUGAACUCAGAAGGCGAUAAGGAUUUCAGAGGGCAAAAUUACAAAUAGCUACCGGCCAGAGCUCCCGUACUUGGAGGGCCGUGCAACUUUGCUUUGGUGGUAGCUGGUGGCUGCAUAGUCGUCCAGGGGGUCUGCACAGGAGGAGACGGAAGUGGAUUCUCCAACUGGGGCUAAAUAAAUAAAUAAGAAGACCUGUGGUUUAUGUACGUAUUCAGUAUGGCAGCACAGUAAUACUGGCUUCACCAACUAGGCAGUAAAAUGGGUACCUUUAUUUUGUAGUCAUGUCUCAACGUAUCUACACAAAAUCCCCACCAUCCUUCCCCCAAGAUCAUGACUAUCCUCGUCAACCAAACCAAGUAGGCAUUAUGGCCCCUCUUUACUGCCUCUUCCUCCUUCCCCCGUUUGUGGCUCCUUCUUGACAACCCUCAAAGUUCAUUUCAUUGUAACGAAAACUCGAUCUAAAGAUUGGGAUGAGGCAUAGUGUGACCUUCCAUGACAGGAAGAAAAGAAUGAAAAAUUACCCUUCAAGUAAAACCAGUCCACAGGCUCACACUGUAAGGGAACAAGGGUUAUGCUUUUUUGUGGGCAACUGUCAACCUUGCUGGUUGGAUGGUCUCCUAGAGUCAGGGUCCAGCACAGGGCCACCCCUAGAACAGGAGGAGAGUUCCUUGUUCCUUUAUCUGUUGCACCAAGAUAGUCUCUUCAUCCC